GACGAACGCUGGCGGCGUGCUUAACACAUGCAAGUCGAACGGUAAGGCCCUAGCUUUCUGGGGUGCACGAGUGGCGAACGGGUGAGUAACACGUGGGUAACCUGCCCUGCACUUCGGGAUAAGUUCGGGAAACUGGGGCUAAUACCGGAUAGGAGCACGGUCUGCAUACUGUGGUGGAAAGAUUUUUCGGUGUGGGAUGGGCACGCGGCUUAUCAGCUUGUUGGUGGGGUAAUGGCCUACCAAGGCUGCGACGGGUAGCCGGCCUGAGAGGGUGAACGGCCACAUUGGGACUGAGAUACGGCCCAGACUCCUACGGGAGGCAGCAGUGGGGAAUAUUGCACAAUGGGCGGAAGCCUGAUGCAGCAACGCCGCGUGCGGGAUGACGGCCUUCGGGUUGUAAACUGCUUUCGCCAUCGACGAAGGGUUUGUGACGGUAGAUGGAAAAGAAGCACCGGCUAACUACGUG
rnacentral:rRNA from 1 species